CCUUAAAAUGGAUGGCGCUUAAGUUGUAUACCUAUACAUUACCGCUAAAGUAGAUGGUUUAUAUUACUUGUAAUAUAAAUUUUGAAACUUUAGUGAGUAGGAAGGUACAAUGGUGUGCAUAGAAGUGUUUGGCGUAAGCCUGCAUGGAGCCGCUAUUGGUACAGAUCUUGGUGGUAGUAGCAUUUAAUCGAAUGAGACCUUGGAGGACUGAAGUGGAGAAGGGUUUCGUGUGAACAGUGGUUGAUCACGAGUUAGUCGGUCCUAAGUUCAAGGCGAAAGCCGAAAAUUUUCAAGUAAAGAAAAAUCUAAAUAUAUUUGUCAUCUAACCGAUUUUUAUACACUUGAAUAAUUUUGAACGAAAGGGAAUACGGUUCCAAUUCCGUAACCUGUUGAGUAUCCGUUUGUUAUUAAAUAUGGGCCUCGUGCUCAUCCUGGCAACAGGAACGACCAUAAAGAAGCCGUCGAGAGGUAUCGGAAGAGUUUUCUUUUCUGUUUUAUAGCCGUACUACCAUGGAAGUCUUUCGCAGAGAGAUAUGGUAGAUGGGCUAGAAGAGCAUGACAUAUACUGUUGUGUCGAUAUUUUCUCCUCGGACCUUGAAAAUUUAUGGUGGGGACACGCAAACUUCUCAACAGGCCGUACCAAUAUCCGCAGCUGGUCUCCAAGGUGAAGAGUCUCUAGUCGAUAGAAUAAUGUAGGUAAGGGAAGUCGGCAAAUUAGAUCCGUAACUUCGGGAUAAGGAUUGGCUCUGAAGAUUGAGAUAGUCGGGCUUGAUUGGGAAACAAUAACAUGGUUUAUGUGCUCGUUCUGGGUAAAUAAAGUUUCUAUCAUUUAUGGUAGUUUCUUGUUCCCCGGAUAGUUUAGUUACGUAGCCAAUUGUGGAACUUUCUUGCUAAAAUUUUUAAGAAUACUAGUUGGGCUACCAAUUAGUUCUUUUAAAUUAUAACGAUUAUCAAUUAACAAUCAAUUCAGAACUGGCACGGACUUGGGGAAUCCGACUGUCUAAUUAAAACAAAGCAUUGUGAUGGCCCUAGCGGGUGUUGACACAAUGUGAUUUCUGCCCAGU
rnacentral:ncRNA from 1 species